UUAGUUGAAUUUGAAUUUGAAUCUAUUGUAACUGCGAGAACGCGAAGGGUUUGUGAAGGGUUUCGAGAUUUGGAGUUUUUGAUAAGAAUUUGGAUAGGGAAAGGAGAAAGGGAAGAUGAGAAAGAGAAGUUAGUGUGUGGUGAUGAACAGGGUUUUGAGGAGAGUGAAAAUGAGGAAGAAAGUUCCAUUGUUAAAUUGGAAGUAGUAACUGAAUUGUGUUGGGAAAUGGUGUAUGAAGAUUAAUGUGAUUGAUUUGUGGAUUUUUGUAUUGGUUUUGACACCAUAGAUGAAGGGGUUUGGGUGUUGUUUUGCAGGGUUUUGGACACUCGCAUGGUUGGAUAAGGUGAGGCGAAAUGUGCCCCUUUGUUGGGAUGAACAAUUGGAUAUUUG
rnacentral:lncRNA from 1 species